GCCUGGGUGGCUCAGUCGGUUAAGCGUCUGACUUGAGGUCAUGAUCUCGCAGUUCGUGGGUUUGAGCCCACAUCAGGCU
rnacentral:tRNA from 1 species